AAUUGGAGUCUUUGUAAAGAGGUUCCUUUAAAUGAGCCGAUAUAUUUGGCCUCGGUUUUCUACAAGUUAAUUGGCGUAGUUAUAUAUUCAUGCCAUCUCCUCAAAAAUUUCACCCUUGCCAGGAUCCCAAGGCAUUGAACAAAUUGAAGCAGCAUUAUACAAUAUUUAUUGCUUUCAGACUUUAACAGGAACCAAAUUUCUUUUCGCGAGCGAUAUAAAACCUUUAAACGCAGGCCAGAUACUCAGAGGGAUUUAUGUCUUGUUUUGCGACUAUGCUUUAAAAAAUCCCUUUUAUAGCUUGGAUUGCCCCAUAAGAUGCGAGCUUUUUGAUAAAUAUAUGGACGACUUUGUCGACAAACUAAAUACCGGGGGGACCGUAAUAUUGUAACGUUGUGGAAGGCUCUUACUUCAUAGAAGUCUACUAAUCCAGAAAUAAAUGCAACUUUUUUAUGUGG